AGCCGAGUAGACGUCGCGGAAUCCCAAAGGUCUAUCCCGCGAACGCAGCGUGGCGUCCCCUGCCUCGGCUCUGGGCGGUCUCCCUGCGUCAGUUAGACCAUCUGCCUGCCUUGUCGCGGACAGCCCCCUGGAAAAGGCGGAGAGGCCGGGAGCUGAAGCUGAUAUGGAAAGAAUGGAUUGAAAGAAGACCAGUACAGAAGCAGGGAGACCGGAAGAGAGACUGCUACAAUGGGCCAGAUGAGAAAUGGUACUGGCCUGAGCUAAGAGUCAUGGCAGUGGGUAUGCAGAGACUGCUUUGGACACAAGAUAUAUUUGGAAGAAGCACCAAGACUACUUCACUCAUGUUGCUGGGGGUCUUGUGUAAGGUGUUGUGGUUACCAAGGUGAAUGCCCCCAAUCUGGUAGAGAAGGCAGACACGAAGACGCAUGAAAGCCGUGUGCAGUGGGGUCAGUGCUGUGAGAGAGUUGAGCCUUCAGAUGAGACUGUGACCCCAGCUAGAGCUUGACUGAAACCUUACAGAAGACCUUCAGCCAGAGGCUCCCAGCUAAGCCAUGCCUGGACUCCUGACCCAUAGACACUGGCCAAGCCCAGCACUGGCCAUAACCACAGGCUUCGCGAACGAACGUCUGUCGGAUGACUUUUCCAGCUAAGAAUAUCUAUUUUAUCUCUCACGGUCAUUUUCCCCCAUUGCAAAAGCCAUACCUUUCCAUUGUAGAAAAGAUGAUAAAAUACAGAUCGAAGAAAAGGAUAAGACUAUGUUAUCCCACAUUUAGAGCUAGUCCCUAUGGGUCUUCAGAUACCUUCUUCUAGGGCAAUUAUCAUGCAUGUCUAGCCACCUAUAUAGGGAUAUAUAUAUGUUCCCAAGUCCUUCAGCUUUCUGUGGGCACUCUUUAAUGGCCAAACAGAAGCUCUUGGUCCCCACGCACACCCUGAGGGAAAUCAAGCCUUCGGGAGGGGCUGUAAUGGGGCUUGGCAUCCUUGUUUAUGAGGAGUAAAGAGUACGGAUGGCAGCAUUCGGGGACAGCCCCUGGGGAGGUCCCCGGAAGCAGGGGAGACGUGGCUCUCACGGACAGCAACCCAAAGCUGGAGGAGAAGGGGAAACAGACAGCUCGUAAUAAAUGUGUUUGACUCCGUGUUUCCCAUCUUAGCCAGUUUACGUUUCCUAGUGCUUCUCAAGACAGCCCAUAGUGCUUCUCAAGAACCGACCCCGUCCGAUUUCAGCCAACCUGCCUGGCAAGAUCUAGGCCGAGGCUAACGGCGUGUCCAGACAACACAGAACAAUUAUCAACAAGUGGGCGGCAACUGACUGGAGUAGUCCAGAGGUGUGCAGACUGGCAGAGGACGGCCGGCUCGGGCUCACACAUUGCCCCAUGCAAAAUCACAGACUGCAUGGCCGCUCUUCGGCUCGCUUGAGAGAGGACUGCACGGUUGUGCACACACACCGGAAGCUUCAGUCCAUAGACUGCUCCAGUUGCAAGUGAAGGAAAAUCUAACUCAAAAUGGUUUAAGCAAUUCAUCGGAUCCCAGAGGAAGAGUUGGAGAAUACUUCUCCCUUCAAAUGUUAUUUGAUACAGGGCCCAAAUACGUCGUUGCUGUGGGACUCUUUCUCUCCAUCUCUUGGGCUCUGCCCUGUGCCAGAGCCAGCCAUUCCUAGCAGCCAGGAAGUCGGAGAAGGCAUCCUUAACUAGGCACACUGCACUCUGAACAAAUUUAAGACUGACAGAAUGAAGAGAAUUUUUAUAUGUACAAUGGACUAUUAUUCAGCCAUUUGCAACAACAUGGAUGGACCUUGAGGGCACCAUGCUAAGUGAGAACACAAGAAGGGGACUGAUACUGGACAGGCAACCAACACGCCAUUGAUACACCACUGAUCCUGAAUCUACAAUUCUAUUCCAGACCUCUGCACAGGCUGAAGCAAAGGACACCCAGCAGAAGCGGCAAGAGAACAAGACGCACUGGUGGGGUCCAGCGGGAUCCAGCAUAAGCCUGUCACGUUUUUCCAUGUCCAAGAGCACACGGGAGUGCUUCACCAAAUAGCGAACCACGGGUAAGUGCGGGGUGCCCCUGCCCAAGGAGGCCGGCUUUAGUCUCAGGUCCGAGGGAGCUGGUCAUGUAGACAUAACCCACUAUUUUUUUUUAAUUUAAAUUCAAUCAGCCAACAUACAGCACAGUAUUAGUUUCAGAUGCACGACCCGCUGUGAACACUCCCCUCAUGUUCCACAGGGGGGCUCUGGGUUUGGUUUUCAGUAUC